GACGAACGCUGGCGGCGUGCUUAACACAUGCAAGUCGAACGGAAAGGCCCUGCUUGCAGGGUACUCGAGUGGCGAACGGGUGAGUAACACGUGGGUGAUCUGCCCUGCACUUCGGGAUAAGCCUGGGAAACUGGGUCUAAUACCGGAUAGGAGCCAUUUUUAGUGUGAUGGUUGGAAAGUUUUUUCGGUGUAGGAUGAGCUCGCGGCCUAUCAGCUUGUUGGUGGGGUAAUGGCCUACCAAGGCGGCGACGGGUAGCCGGCCUGAGAGGGUGGACGGCCACAUUGGGACUGAGAUACGGCCCAGACUCCUACGGGAGGCAGCAGUGGGGAAUAUUGCACAAGGGGCGCAAGCCUGAUGCAGCGACGCCGCGGGGGGGAUGACGGCCUUCGGGUUGUAAACUCCUUUCGCUAGGGACGAAGCUUUUUGUGACGGUAUCUAGAUAAGAAGCACCGGCUAACUACGUG
rnacentral:rRNA from 1 species